rnacentral:rRNA from 1 species
UAGAUCUUUCAAGUUUCUGACCUAUCAGCUUUCGACGGUAGGGUAUUGGCCUACCGUGGCAGUGACGGGUAACGGGGAAUUAGGGUUCGAUUCCGGAGAGGGAGCCUGAGAAACGGCUACCACAUCUAAGGAAGGCAGCAGGCGCGCAAAUUACCCAAUGAAAACAGUUUCGAGGUAGUGACGAGAAAUAACAAUACAGGGCAUUUUAUGCUCUGUAAUUGGAAUGAUGGGAAUGUAAAACCCUCUCAGAGUAACAAUUGGAGGGCAAGUCUGGUGCCAGCAGCCGCGGUAAUUCCAGCUCCAAUAGUGUAUAUUAGAGUUGUUGCAGUUAAAAAGCUCGUAGUUGGAUUUCUGUCGUGGUCAUCCGGUACCGCCUGUAUGGGUGUGCACCUGGUUUGACCUCGGCUUUCUUCCGGUAGCCUUCCGCGCUUCACUGCGUGUGUUGGUGUUCUGGAACUUUUACUUUGAGAAAAAUAGAGUGUUUCAAGCAGGCUUGUCGCCCUGAAUACUUCAGCAUGGAAUAAUAAGAUAGGACCUUGGUUCUAUUUUGUUGGUUUCUAGGACCAAGGUAAUGAUUAAUAGGGACAGUUGGGGGCAUUCGUAUUUAACUGUCAGAGGUGAAAUUCUUAGAUUUGUUAAAGACGAACUACUGCGAAAGCAUUUGCCAAGGAUGUUUUCAUUAAUCAAGAACGACAGUAGGGGGUUUGAAGACGAUUAGAUACCGUCGUAAUCUCUACCAUA